GUUCAGUGGAUCCCAUCCCGGGUCCUCCAGGUCCGGUAUCCUGCAUGUUUCAGAUGUUUCCCUCUUCCAACACGCCUGGUUCACAUGAUCAGCCUGUCAUCCAGUUCUGCAGAAGAACAAUACUGACCUUCAGGGGGACUGCAAGAGGAACCA